rnacentral:rRNA from 1 species
AGGAUGAACGCUGGCGGUCUGCUUAACACAUGCAAGUCGAACGGAGUAGCAAUACUUAGUGGCGGACGGGUGAGUAACGCGUGAGAAUCUACCUUCAGGACGGAGACAACAGUUGGAAACGACUGCUAACCCCCGAUGUACCGAAAGGGCAAAUAUUUAUAGCCUGAAGAAGAGCUCGCGUCCGAUUAGCUAGUUGGAGAGGUAAAAGCUCACCAAGGCGACGAUCGGUAGCUGGUCUGAGAGGACGAUCAGCCACACUGGGACUGAGACACGGCCCAGACUCCUACGGGAGGCAGCAGGUGGGGAAUUUCCGCAAUGGGCGAAAGCCUGACGGAGCAAGACCGCGGUGGGGAAGAAGGCUCGUUGGGUUCGUUAAACCCCUUUUCUCGUGGGAAGACGCAAUGACGGUACCAGAGGAAUCAGCAUCGGCUAACUCCGUGCCAGCAGCCGC